rnacentral:sRNA from 1 species
CAUUAGCCCCGAUAGAAACGGCAUCCUUUUGUGGUGGAGCGAGGCGACGGAGCGCAGCGGAGUCGUCCGAGCGACACUACAAAAGAUAUAGUGGAUAGCGGGAUUGGCU